GAUGAAGAACGUAGCGAAAUGCGAUAAGUAGUGUGAAUUGCAGAAUUCAGUGAAUCAUCGAAUCUUUGAACGCACAUUGCGCCCCUUGGUAUUCCAUGGGGCAUGCCUGUUCGAGCGUCAUUUGUACCUUCAAGCUCUGCUUGGUGUUGGGUGUUUGUCUCGCCUUUGCGUGUAGACUCGCCUUAAAACCAUUGGCAGCCGGCGUAUUGAUUUCGGAGCGCAGUACAUCUCGCGCUUUGCACUCAGAACGACGACGUCCAAAAGUACAUUUUUACACUCUUGACCUCGGAUCAGGUAGGGAUACCCGCUGAACUUGAGCAUAUCAAUAAGCGGAGGA
rnacentral:misc_RNA from 1 species